rnacentral:rRNA from 1 species
GAAGUGCGAAUGCUGACAUAAGUAACGAUAAAGCGGGUGAAAAGCCCGCUCGCCGGAAGACCAAGGGUUCCUGUCCAACGUUAAUCGGGGCAGGGUGAGUCGACCCCUAAGGCGAGGCCGAAAGGCGUAGUCGAUGGGAAACAGGUUAAUAUUCCUGUACUUGGUGUUACUGCGAAGGGGGGACGGAGAAGGCUAUGUUGGCCGGGCGACGGUUGUCCCGGUUUAAGCGUGUAGGCUGGUUUUCCAGGCAAAUCCGGAAAAUCAAGGCUGAGGCGUGAUGACGAGGCACUACGGUGCUGAAGCAACAAAUGCCCUGCUUCCAGGAAAAGCCUCUAAGCAUCAGGUAACAUCAAAUCGUACCCCAAACCGACACAGGUGGUCAGGUAGAGAAUACCAAGGCGCUUGAGAGAACUCGGGUGAAGGAACUAGGCAAAAUGGUGCCGUAACUUCGGGAGAAGGCACGCUGAUAUGUAGGUGAAGUCCCUCGCGGAUGGAGCUGAAAUCAGUCGAAGAUACCAGCUGGCUGCAACUGUUUAUUAAAAACACAGCACUGUGCAAACACGAAAGUGGACGUAUACGGUGUGACGCCUGCCCGGUGC